CAGAUUAAAAAUAAUAAUUAAAAAUCCAACAAAUAAUUUCUCUAAAAUUUACAUAUAUUAUUUAAGUUUAUGUAAUGAAAAUAAAUAAGUAUUUAACUAACUAAUUAUAUUUUUAAUAUACCUUCAAUAUUUCUGGUGAAUUCUAAUAGAAAUAUUUGAUAAUUAUUUACUUGUACUGAUCUGUUUUAGAAACUAAAAUUAUUAAGUAUUUCCUACCAAUUUUCCUAAAUAAAGUUCCAGCUUAAUAAAUGAAAGUUUAAAUAAAUUGAGUAAAUUUCGCGGCUAAAGUGAUCACGUGUGCAGCUCCGCAGGAAAAAAAAAAAAUCUGCUUUCCUCAGCAGCGACGUCGACUAGCCAUACACCUCACAACUCCUGGUAAGUAACGUUAGUCAGCUAAUCCUACUUACGUUUGUAACACUUUAUUAAAAAGUUAAUAAUUAUUAAGCAUUUCCUAACAAUUGUCUUUGUAUUUUACGUCAUAUUCAACAAGUUUCGUAGCUUAAUCGAAGUCACCUGAAGGACGGCUUUCCUCAGCAACGGCAAGGCCCGCACUCCUCUCAUAUUGUGAAGUUUAACAAGUUUCGCGGCUCAAACAAGAGGCACCUGUCACUGAAGGACUGCUUUUCUCAGCUACGACGUGAACAGCAUCACUCGAAUUUCCUGGUUCAGCUGAUCUACCCAUCUUCGUACAAGCAGAGUUGGCAGAGGAGGUCAUAAAAAUCUACAUCCUUCGGGACAAUGAUGGGGCAGUCAGCGAUGUAAUCUUGGGAAUCACAGCAGAGCCUGCUGCCAUCUUUUGGGAGUCACAUUGGAUUUGAGAUAUCCCAAGACCCACAAAUACAGGUCCUUCUCCAAAAAUUAGCAUAUUGUGAUAAAGUUCAUUAUUUUCCUUAAUGUAAUGAUAAAAAUUAAACUUUCAUAUAUUUUAGAUUCAUUGCACACCAACUGAAAUAUUUCAGGUCUUUUAUUGUUUAAAUACUGAUGCUUUUGGCAUACAGCUCAUGAAAACCCCAAACUCCUAUCUCAAAAAAUUAGCUUAUUUCAUCUGACCAAUAAAAGAAAAGUGUUUUUAAUACAAAAAAAAGUCAACCUUCAAAUAAUUAUGUUCAGUUAUGCACUCAAUACUUGGUCGGGAAUCCUGCAGAAAUGACUGCUUCAGUGUGGCGUGGCAUGGAGGCAAUCAGCCUGUGGCACUGCUGAGGUGUUAUGGAGGCCCAGGAUGCCUUGAUAGCGGCCUUAAGCUCAUCCAGAGUGUUGGAUCAUGCGUCUCUCAACUAUCUCUUCACAAUAUCCCACAGAUUCUCUAUGGGGUUCAGGUCAGGAGAGUUGGCAGGCCAAUUGAGCACAGUAAUACCAUGGUCCGUAAACCAUUUACCAGUGGUUUUGGCACUGUGAGCAGGUGCCAGGUCAUGCUAAAAAACGAAAUCAUCUCCAUAAAGCUUUUUAGCAGAUGGAAGCAUGAAGUGCUCCAAAAUCUACUGAUAACUAGCUGCAUUGACCCUGCCCUUGAUAAAACACAGUGGACCAACACCAGCAGCUGACAUGGCACCCCAGACCAUCACUGACUGUGGGUACUUGACACUGGAUUUCAGGCAUUUUGGAAUUUCCUUCUCCCCAGUCUUCCUCCAGACUCUGGCACCUUGAUUUCCGAAUGACAUGCAAAAUUGGCUUUCAUCCAAAAAAAGUACUUAGGACCACUGAGCAACAGUCCAGUGCUGCUUCUCUGUAGCCCAUUUCCUGCACACGCCUGUGCACGGUGGCUCUGGAUGUUUCUACUCCAGACUCAGUCCACUGCUUCCGCAGGUCCCCCAAGGUCUGGAAUCGGUCCUUCUCCACAAUCUUCCUCAGGAUCCGGUCACCUCUUCUCGUUGUGCAGCGUUUUUUGCCACACUUUUUCUUUCCUACAGACUUCCCACUGAGGUGCCUUGAUACAGCACUCUGGGAACAGCCUAUUCGUUCAGAAAUUUAUUUCUGUGUCUUCCCCUCUCGCUUGAGGGUGUCAAUGAUGGCCUUCUGGACAGCAGUCAGGUCGGCAGUCUUACCCAUGAUUGCCGUUUUGAGUAAUGAACCAGGCUGGGAGUUUUUAAAAGCCUCAGGAAUCUUUUGCAAGUGUUUAGAGUUAAUUAGCUGAUUCAGAUGAUUAGGUUAAUAGCUCGUUUAGAGAACCUUUUCAUGAUAUGCUAAUUUUUUGAGAUAGGAAUUUUGGGUUUUCAUGAGCUGUAUGCCAAAAUCAUCAGUAUUAAAACAAUAAAAGACCUGAAAUAUUUCAGUUGGUGUGCAAUGAAUCU